AUAUUUAAAUUUAAAUUUUUAAAUUUCAAACUUUAAAUUUAAGAUCAAAUUUAAAUUUAAUAAAUAUAAAAUAUCAAAUUUUAAAUUUCAAAAUUAAAAUAUCAAAAUUAAAAUUUAUAAUUUAUAAUUUAUAAUUUAAAAUUAUAAACUUUAAUUUUGAGAUUAUAAAUUAUAAAUUUUAAAAUUUUAAAAUUUUAAUUUUUAAAUUUUUAAAAUAAGAAUAGGGGUGGGAACAAUUAAUAAAAAUAAUUUAUUAUAAUAAAUUUAUAGAUUUUUUUUAAAAUUCUACUUAAACUUAAAUUUAAUAAAAAGAAUUUAUUAUAAUACUUAAAUAAAUUUAUUAUAAAUUUUAUUAUAAUAUUUAAAUAUAAAUAAUAUGUAUUAAUAUAGUAUAAUUAAUAAUUUUAUAAUAAAAAUAAUGUAUUAUAAUAUAUAAUAUAUUAUAUUUAUAUACUUUAGUUUUAAUUCAAUUUAUAAUUUUAAUUAGUUUGAAAUUAAGCAUUGGAAUAGCGCUAUUCCACCAAAAUGGUGGAAUAACAAAUUCCUUGCUAUCCCGGGAUAACCGGGAAUAGCAAGGUUUGACCGGGAUAAAAUAUUCCGGCCAAUUUUCAUCCCGUUUGGCGGAAUAACAGGGAUAACUUUCAUUAUCCCCGCUUAUCCCCCCAACCAAACGGGGUUAGUGUUAUGUCCAAAUUGGAAUCGUAACCUAGUCCAAACCGUGACACUUCAAUAGCCUCACAUCAGAUGAUGUGGGAGAGUGUGAUGAGUUUAUAAGUAACGGAUAAAUUAGUAAUAAUAACUAGGCUUAUGAUGUAUAACGGACAUACUGGUAAUAAUAAUUGUGCUUAAGCAUUCUGGUCCGUUGGUUUGGGUCUAACAUGUUAUUAUUGCUAGUAAAUCGGGUCGUUACACAAACUAAAUAAUUUACUGGGACCUAACUUCCUAGACUAUUUUCUUUUAUUUUAUUUUAUUUUAUUUUU
rnacentral:lncRNA from 1 species